rfam:Firmicutes bacterium CAG:24 genomic scaffold, scf340
UAUCAUUGCCAGGGGAGCGAUUGCUGAGACUGAAUAUCCGCCCGGAUUUCUGACCCUCAUCACCUGAACCGGAUAAUACCGGCGUAGGGAGGCACAUGUGACAGAUU